rnacentral:tRNA from 1 species
CAGCUGGCCCAGCCAUUUUCAAUUAGUGUCUUUCGUAUAGUAAGAUCCUCUACUAAUUGUAAGCACACAUUUUGA